rnacentral:rRNA from 1 species
ACAUGCCUACAACAUAGUGUUAAUCCACCAGAUCCCAUUAGAAAUCCACAGUUAAGUGUGCUCAGGCUAGAGUAGUACCUGAAUGGGAGACCUCCCAAGAUGUCCUGGUGUUUUACAUGCC